UAAAGUGCGACGCUAUCUAAUGUGUUGCCAACCAUGAAAUUGAGCGAAUUCAAGAUAGUGUGUACGUCUCGUAUAAUGUUUCCCCAGCAUCUUUGCAGACAAGCAUAUGGAUGUCAUCACACCUUCCUAAACCCCCUUUUAGAUCUCUUUUAAAAUCUUGGAUGAAUUGAUAGGGAUGGUUUGAAGCUGGUAUUUUUUUAGGAACAAAUGUCUUCGGACUUCCUACAAUACCUUGUCUGUACUUGUAAAGAAAAACUCAAAAUAACGUGUUUGCUUUGAGCAGAACCUUUCAUGUGCAGACCUGUGGCCAUGAGUGAAAUGUGUAGAAAUAUUAAAACAUGUCUUGUGACGGUUGAUGAAAAUGAAGAUGAUGGAGAUAACGGUUGAUUUGGUAUAAAGCUUGUUGCACUGGUACACACGGUUCCAGUCCCGAGGUUAGGGGAGUGUUGGCGUGCCCUUAAAAAAGUUAAACCCCGCCAAUAUCUGUAUGUGUCUGUUUCAAGUCACGAGACGGUAAUGCAGUGUUUGUCGUUUGUUUCUAUAUACUAUAUUUGUUUCUUUCUUAUUUAUUUUGUACAUUAAUCAGGUCGUUAGAUUUUUUGUUUGUUUUACAUUAUUCAUUUCGGGAAUUGAAGACUAUGCAGUAUGAAUUUUACUCAUUGUUGAAGCCCGUACGGGACCUAUAAUUGUUUUAUGUCUCAUUUGGUCUCAUUUGGAGAGUUGUCUCAUUUGCAAUCAUAUCACAUCUUCUUUUUUUAUAUGGAAUACUUUUGAAGUUUGGGUACGUUGCAAGGGAAAAAAGGGGGGAUAUAGUUACAAAACCUAUAAUGUAAUAGAUAUUAACCAGAGUUAAAUACACAACAAAAGAUAAUACUAUGGUAGCAGUAAUAAUUGUGAAAAAAAAAACCAAAAGCAACGAGUAGUCUAUAAAAAAAAAACUGAAGUAUCCGCAAAUUCAAUUUGAGGUCAUAUUUGACUGUAGUGUUCUAUGGCUUUGGUUUGAUGACUCACCCACU
rnacentral:lncRNA from 1 species